rnacentral:lncRNA from 10 species
CGGACGUCCAUGGGGCACAGAGAGCCCCUCUGAGGGACUCCUGUGCACUGGGCAGACAGCAAUCUCUAUGUCCAGAAACUUCUGGGCUUCAACCAAAUAUACAAUGAAUUUGGGGUGUGGGUUCAGGACAGGAAGAAAGCACACACACGUUAGCGUUUUGUUCUUUCCUGAAUCGGCAGCUUAGUAUGGAAAAUGACCCUCUGGGACACUCCCAUUUGUCUAACCCAAGUGGGGCGUGGAAGGAAAGGAAACUCCGUGAGACUCCGCUGAGUCUCGGGCAGGGCACGUUGUAGACGUCUGGGGCACACUGGCCCCGCUCUGCAUCCACAGCUGGAUUCUCCACCCCUGAGCAAGACAAGGAGCCCCAGACAAAACGCUCAGGAUUCCAGAGGAUGGGGUUGAGGAUCCUCAGCCUUUCAGAGUGAAAAUCCACGAGGCGGAGGAGGUUUAAAACAACAGAAACAGGCAUGUGGGGAAAACCAUAGGUUCAAUUAGAAGCACUGUACAGACGUUCUGUACAAGAACUUCCUGCGCAGAGGAAACAGGAUACCAGGAAAAGUGGAAACCCUAUUGUUUACUUGGAGCAUAAUGUUCUCCAAGAUCACUGGAUGACGUGUGUUAAUGAGGCCUCUGAAACCAAGCCUAGGACCAGGCAGAAGUGUGGAAUGCAGCUGUGGAGCGAGGAUCUAAUCAUUCUGCCCACUCUAACUGCCAAGAUGAAUCGCUCCAUGGACGGCACGUUCUGAAGUAAUCAAUAUCAAUUUUCAAGACAGCUGAAAUGUCCGAUGAACCACACGGCAGCCGGGUGCAGUGGCCAUGAGCUGCUGUCGCUUCCCAGUUAAUGUGAAAUGGAGAAAUAAACACCUGUCAGGCCCUCCCAUCCACGGAGGCAGGCGGUCUGCAGAAUCUUGUUCAACAGGCUGUGUUUUCUAUGCCACACCAUGAUCUUGGUUCCUUGGCUCGGCCAGGCGUGAUGGUGGCGGGAGCCUGUAGUUCCAGCUACUCGGGA